CGGCUAACAUUCUCCUUUCCCUUCCUCCCCGACAACAAACACUCUGUGAGAAACCAAGGGCACUUGAAAGUGCUGCAAAUUUGGCUGGAUUGUGAGGCGCCAGUACCCAUCGACAUACCUAUCAAGGGGACGGAAUCUGAGGUGGCAGGCAUGAUCUCAGCAACAAGCAGCAUGAAAACCGUGAGAGACAGGAGGACCGUAAUACCUGCAAUCAAAUUGCAAAGGAGACAAAAGAGUCAGCUGGCAGCAAGAAAACAAGCAACGCUAAGCCUGAUAUGAGGACGCAUGGAAUCAGUAAAUUCAAUCCAUAGUAGAGGGUGCGGCGGCGCAUUGUCACGGUAUUCCCUGGCACCUCUCUUGAAAAUGUUGGCUCAUUUCCGGUGGGGCUGUGGAUUGGCCAAGCAAGCCUUAAAGGGGCAUGCCUGGAGAGUCUUGCAAGCCUUGGCUGGGUUUGCCAGGCAGCCUGAGCACAAACCCUAAAAGGGCAGGUCUGGGGAAGCUCAGAGCGCUGUGCCUUUAAAACAGCAUCUGCUGGAAGAAGCUGCCCGGUUUUGGGGGCCACCUUCCCCAAACGCCAGCCAUCGAGGUGAAAAUAAAGAAUGACGAAUGCUCAAACUCCCUUGGCAGGAGAGAGAUAUCAUAAAAUGAGAUGUUCAUUUCUUUAUCUGAGAAGGCGGUGGCAGCACUGAUGAUGAGUGUAGGAACAACAUUCUGGACUUUUGUUGUACCUGAAAAAAGGCCUUUGUAGUGGAUGCCCUGGGUGCUGCUGCUGCUGCUGCUGCUGGCAGCUUUCCUGACUAGGCCUUGACAUCCAACAGGCUCCCCCAGCUCCCCGCAAGCACUCUAUAACUCAGCAGAAUGUGGGCCUCCAGACCUCUCCAAAUCUGGAGGUGGAGAGAGGCUGUGGCGCACGAGGCACCCGGCCACAGCAGGCCCUGGCCCCCCCCCAGGGCACGCCCCACAGAGGGUUUAGAGAUGGGUAGAAGCUGGGUUGGGUUGCACCAGUAGAUCUCCUGGUGAUGUGCAGUAGAUCAGCAAGGUUUGCUGACUCCCAGUUGUACAUCAUCAGCGGCAACAAAAUGACUCUCCCUCAAACCUCCGAAAUCAGAAGGCUAAGCAGAGGUUGGCUUCUGUGCAAGAGGACUGUGAGAUCAGCUCAGCUCUCAUACGUAUUCAGAGGCACCCUGCUCUUUAAUUCUAACUGUUAUGGUUUG